rnacentral:rRNA from 1 species
CCAGACUCCUACGGGAGGCAGCAGUGGGGAAUAUUGCACAAUGGGGGAAACCCUGAUGCAGCGACGCCGCGUGAGUGAAGAAGUAUUUCGGUAUGUAAAGCUCUAUCAGCAGGGAAGAAAUAGCGACCUUUGGGUCGCCAGACGGUACCUGACUAAGAAGCCCCGGCUAACUACGUGCCAGCAGCCGCGGUAAUACGUAGGGGGCAAGCGUUAUCCGGAUUUACUGGGUGUAAAGGGAGCGUAGACGGCAGCACAAGUCUGAAGUGAAAGGCCGGGGCUUAACCCCGGAACUGCUUUGGAAACUGUGCAGCUAGAGUGCAGGAGAGGUAAGUGGAAUUCCUAGGGUAGCGUCGAAAUGCGUAGAUAUUAGGAGGAACACCAGUGGCGAAGGCGGCUUACUGGACUGUAACUGACGUUGAGGCUCGAAAGCGUGGGGAGCAAACAGGAUUAGAUACCCCAGUAAA